AUGUUUGGAGUCAUUCCAAGAAAAAGAGAGAAAAAAAAAUUCUGGUCAAUGGAGAGACGGGACCACAUUGAAAGAGAUCAGAAGACAUUCCUUUCCUGCAGCAAUAAGGAGGACACCCCUGGCUGUAAUGAGAGUCUGAUGAGCUGCUUCAAGGGAAAGGGUGAGGAGAGUGAUUGUUACUUUCUUACCGAUGACAUACCCAGCCCUAUCUCAUUUCUCCAACCACUUGAAAAAAGUUUAUUGACAUAGGACAGUAGACGAAUACAGCAACUGAAGGGCCCUCUAGUACCUUUCCCAAUGCAGAGGAAGAUUAGUUGCAG
rnacentral:lncRNA from 1 species